UACCGGUUCCCAACGAUCACCGAAGUUAAGCAACGUCGAGCCUGCUUAGUACCUAGAUGGGUGACCGCUUGGGAAUACCAUAUGUUAUA